GAUCAACGCUGGCGGCGUGCCUAAUGCAUGCAAGUCGAACGGGGCAUCCUUCGUGGUGCUUACGUGUCGGACGGGUGAGGAACACGUGGGCAAGCUGCCCUGAGGUGGGGGCUAGCCGCCGAAAACGGCGGAUAAUUCCGCAUGACCUCAUCGCCCUGCGGGGGGGUGGAGGGAAGGCGCGCGAUGGUGGGGUUGGGAUUGGCCUGCGGGCGUUUCGCUUGUUGGGUGGGUAACUGCCUAGCAAGGCGGUGAUCGGUAGCUGGGCUGGGAGGCCGGCCAGACAGGGGGGGAGUGAGACACGGCCCUGACUCCUACGGGAGGCGGGAGCAAGGAAUUUUCCGGAAUGGAAGAAAGACGGACGGAGCAACGCCGCGUGGGGGAGGACGCCUUUCGGGGUGUAAACUUCUUUUGUUGGGGACGACGACCGACGGUACCGGAGGAAGAAGGACCGGCUAACUACGUG
rnacentral:rRNA from 1 species